GAACAUUUAUUAAGCACCUGCUGUGUACCAGGUACAGCACUGUCACCUUCAUGCACACUGUCCCAGGCAAUCCCACCCAGGGCGCCUCUGAUCCUGUCUCUGGCUUGUGGACACAGGUGUCCGGAGCACUGAGGUCCCUGAGACAGUGAGGACCCCGGCUGGACACACCUGGGCAGAGGAGGAGCGAGUGGACAUUCUAAUCAACAACGCGGGUGUGAUGCGGUGCCCCCACUGGACCACCGAGGACGGCUUCGAGAUGCAGUUUGGCGUUAACCACCUGGGUCACUUUCUCUUGACAAACUUGCUGCUGGACAAGCUGAAAGCCUCAGCCCCUUCGCGGAUCAUCAACCUCUCGUCCCUGGCCCAUGUUGCUGGGCACAUAGACUUUGACGACUUGAACUGGCAGACGAGGAAGUAUAACACCAAAGCCGCCUACUGCCAGAGCAAGCUCGCCAUCGUCCUCUUCACCAAGGAGCUGAGCCGGCGGCUGCAAGGCUCUGGUGUGACUGUCAACGCCCUGCACCCCGGCGUGGCCAGGACAGAGCUGGGCAGACACACGGGCAUCCAUGGCUCCACCUUCUCCAGCACCACACUCGGGCCCAUCUUCUGGCUGCUGGUCAAGAGCCCCGAGCUGGCCGCCCAGCCCAGCACAUACCUGGCCGUGGCGGAGGAACUGGCGGAUGUUUCCGGAAAGUACUUCGAUGGACUCAAACAGAAGGCCCCGGCCCCCGAGGCUGAGGAUGAGGAGGUGGCCCGGAGGCUUUGGGCUGAAAGUGCCCGCCUGGUGGGCUUAGAGGCUCCCUCUGUGAGGGAGCAGCCCCUCCCCAGAUAACCUCUGGAGCAGAUUUGAAAGCCAGGAUGGCGCCUCCAGACCGAGGACAGCUGUCCGCCAUGCCCGCAGCUUCCUGGCACUACCUGAGCCGGGAGACCCAGGACUGGCGGCCGCCAUGCCCGCAGUAGGUUCUAGGGGGCGGUGCUGGCCGCAGUGGACUGGCCUGCAGGAGUUUUUGCCAAACCCUCGCUCUCAGCCCAGCCCGGCCCGGCGGUGUCGUCAGGAGGGGACGUAACCCUACAGUGUCAGACUCGGUAUGGCUUUGACCAAUUUGCUCUGUACAAGGAAGGGGACCCUGCGCCCUACAAGAAUCCCGAGAGAUGGUACAGGGCUAGUUUUCCCAUCAUCACGGUGACCGCCGCCCACAGCGGAACCUACCGAUGCUACAGCUUCUCCAGCAGGGACCCAUACCUGUGGUCAGCCCCCAGCGACCCCCUGG
ensembl:lncRNA novel transcript